UUGUGUAACUUUUAAUAGAUGUUCCUUCACGUUACCACAGAGAGGGGACUCUAGAAGUAAAAGAGGGAUGAAAAUGUGACACAUAAGAAAUCAGUGGGAACCAAUGUUUAUGCAUCUAUUUGACCAAGAAAGAUAAAGUACUCAAACAUGUUCUCCAAUGCAGUAAUAUUUUUUCAUCACCACACUGGCUGCCUCAUACACAUAAUGUGAUGCUGCAAAAUGAGGAAACUGACAAGCGAGUAGAACAGACAUAAUUGCUUGAAAUUUAACUUCAGAAAGCAGAAAAAGUUCCCCAAACUUCAAAAAUGUCAACUUCUUUUGGUACAUCAUUUGUUGUUAUACUUACUUUGUUUUGUUUGAAAAAAGUAAUGUGUUUUAUUUGUACCAGAAUCAUUUUUUCUGCCACUGCAGUGUGCACAUCCAGACAAAUGCAAACACCU